GACAGAGGAGGCAAUCGUCUGUGGGAAUCAUUGGGCUUAAAGCGCGCGUAGGCGGCCUUGUAAGUGUCUUGUGAAAUCCCACGGCUCACCCGUGGAACUGCAGGGCAAACUGCAAGACUUGAGGUCGGUAGAGGCGCCUGGAACUCUAGGUGGAGCGGUGAAAUGCGUAGAUAUCUAGGGGAACGCCGGAGGCGAAAGCGGGGCGCUGUGCCGAUUCUGACGCUGAUGCGCGAAAGCGUGGGGAGCAAACAGG
rnacentral:rRNA from 1 species